UCCUCUCAUCUCCUGACACAUUAGCUAGUAAUUCCACAUUAGUCUAAGCUCACUAUUUCAUGACAUUUCUGCCCCACCUUGGGCAUAACUCCCAUGAGUUCCAAGCCAUUUCAAUGCAAUGAAAAAAUAAAAUUUAAAAAUAAAGGGAGCACACGUUGGCUUGGCUUCAUUGAGACUUCCUCCUCCAGCACCCUCUAUUAGCAGAAUGUGGACAGAGUAAGUCUCGUGUCUCUGGAGUGUCAAUACAUUUCAGCUUCAAUUUCCCUUUGGAGUUUUCUUCCAGUAGUCAAGUUGUGAUGGCCUGGCAGACACAGACUUCUUCUUCUCUUGCAUUUUCAUUCAACUUUGCUGGAAUGAGGUGCAUACAAGUGAAUAAACUGCUAAUUCUUGUUAGUGUCUAAGGGCAGGAAACUCAAGCCAAUUGUCAAUGAUGUAGAUGGCUUGCUGGAAAAAACACUGUAAAAUGAAAAAUCACCGUAUCCCUAGACAUGAAUUCAAGGCAGCAACCUCAUGCACUUCCUCUCCUCUCAGAGCCACUUAGCAGGAGCCGCUGCAGCAGGCAAGGGGAGGGACACUGCUAAUGUCCCACAACAAGGACUUCAAGCAAACAAGUAUCUCACAGAAACUGCUGAUUUCAUCUGUGCCCCUUGCCUAUGAAAAAUGCUUACACUUCACAUUUCAUUUCUUAAAACCAAUUAAUUUUUAGACUUAGUUGCUUCACUGAAUUCAUCACCUUUUCUCCAGAUGCAUACACAUUUUCACAUACUUGGUAGAUGAUCAUUGUACGUACAAUGCUGAAUCUUACUUUAUACAAGUCAUCAAUGAACUAAAUGUAAGAUUUUUAAGAUUACAGGAAACAGUUAUGUUAGCACUGACCAAAGUACAGAGGAACUUCUUUAUCUGAUAUUUUAAACAUUUAAAGUAACCAGCAGCCUCAACGCGCUAUUUGCUUUUGAAUAGGAAAGAUGACAGAAAACACAUCCUUUUUAUCUUGCAUCAUCAAAAACAAGGACUAUAUAAAUAUUUAAUGAAUGAUCAGUACAUUGUGAAUUACAAGUGUGACUAUCACAAUUAAUAUUACCCAGAUGUUAGCAGCCUCAGAGACUGACAAUACCGAAAUCUAAGGAAACAGCAAUAGCAAAGUGCACGUCAACAGUCCUUUUACAAUUCUUUAUUGAAGACUUAAGAUUGAAGAGUUUCAGGCUUUCUAGUGCACCUAGCUGCUGAGAAGGAUCAGCAGAUAUCACAAAGGAAAAGUUACAGAAGACAGAGCUAGGGCAGUCCAGAUCCUGGUUAUGUCCUGGGACACGGACCUAAUUCUGCAGGAAGAAAAUCCUCAUUCUUCUGGCAAGGUAGCAUAAAGGUGGGACAUCUCUCAAAAUCCCUUUGCAAGAUGUUCCUUAGGAAUUGUUAAAAUAGAAAGGGACAGCCCAGUCUAACAGCAUGCAAGUGCAUUCGAGACUUGGGUAGCGAACAAGAACAUUCUUCUGGCAACGCACAAGAAAGCGAACUCAACUAGAGAGUCUACUGUAUGGCUCUGCAAGAAUUCAUCUGCAGUCAGCUCAAAGAUGGAUUUCAUUGCCACGUUUUAUGCUGCACACCAAAGCUUACUUGUCAUUCAGCCUCUGACAAAUCCUCAAAGAUAAAGUUGCUAAGUCACCCUCACUCUGUAGCUCAACACAAUCCAGCUCGGUACCUGACACCCAUCACGAACAGGAUUAGCCUACAGCGUCCAACCCAAAGAUACACAAAAGAGAAGGAAAUAUAACUGCUGCUGCUUAGCUUUGGUUCAAGUUCAGUUGACUUAAUUAUGAACAGAUCUAGGUCAAAGCUGAACACCCAUGCUUCUCACUAAGGAAGAGAAUGCGUAAAGGGCUGAAUUGCAUUGGUCUCUGAGGCAAAGAAAAUAUCCCUUUAAGAAAAACAGCACAGAGUCCCAAAUACACGUACAAAUAGAAGUAGGCUAGAACCUACUAUUCCAUUUUCGAUCUACAAGCAGGCAAAGAAAGGAAAAAAGUGAGCUCUUCCUAAUGCUCUUGAUGCACAGGCAGAGUCUGUAACAGGAAUGAGGUAGCUGAAACAUAGCCAUUAUGUUUUAAGCAAAUAUUGCCAAUCAGAUUCUGGCAGUGCUUAGCUUAAAGUCCUGCUCGAGCCUCACUGCUCACAUCCACUUUUUGGUCUCCAGAAACAUUCAGCAAGCAUCCAUAAAUGUCAAUGGGUGCCAUUUUUUUCCACAUGGAGGAAUUCAAUUCCACACCUUUGUUCCAUACACACUUCCAUGUCAGAUGCCAUUCAGUCACAAAUGUAACAAAAUAUCGGUGGGAAGGUUCAACCUCUGCUGCCAUACCGCCAACAUCCGUCUCUGACAUCAUGAGCCAACAUCACAAAAUAGGAGGCACUGCUUUCAGAGCAGCGCUCAUACAUCAACCAGAGUUCUCCCUAUCUUAAACUGCAUUUUAGAAAGACAGCUUUAAGUCAUCGCCAAAAGACAUGUAUGCUGCCGAGAGCAACACAGAUUUGUUAGCAUAUACAUAUGCUAAUGUGUACAUAUACAUAUGUUAAUACAUACAAUCCCAUGAAAAAUACGUGUGGGUGAGGUAGCUGUCUGGUCUGGCAAGCUUCAGUCCACAGCAUAUGUUUAUUUUCCUAACAGUAAGUCCAACAACAGUAAUUUACAGAAUUAUCAGCAAAUAUUUAGCUAUGCAUAACAAUCAUACAUUGAGCUUUGACUUAAGGCUACUGAUUGAAUAAAUAACCACAUUUUUUAAGCAUUGGUUCCAGAACAGCAAAUGGAUCUGUACUGGCUUAAUAAAUACUUUAAGACCCCAGGACAACAUGUGUGGCCUACAUUUCCAUUAGCCUCAAGCUGUGUGCUGUAUUAACGUAACCCAGCAAAACGGAACUAAAUGAGCUGCGUCACUCUGAGCCAAGUUCCACCAGCAUGACGCCCCAGCUCACAGAGCAGCCAGCAGCACCAGGUGACACCAACUUGUGCUUCCCUCUGCCAGUCACCUCUCUUUGGCCUUCAGCCAGGGCUUAUGAAGUCCAGCAACAUUUACAUCAAACCUCUACAUUUCCCUUUUCUGUAUAUUAUAUUAAGAAGAGCACACUUAUCGUCACUAGACGAAGGAGGAAAUGGAAGUGAAUAGCAACACUGCUCCAUGUUGCCAUUGUUCAAGCUGGGAUACAUAGCACCCGGAAGCGCUCUAGAAGCCUCAUGUUUGCACUGAAGAGAUGUUGCCUGAGCACGAAAAUACAUGAGUAAAGGAUGUCAGUGAGCAGCAGUGAGCAGCCAAACGAGCUAAAGAGAAAAUACAGACACAAUGCAAACUGACAUACAGAACUCUGCUCUGGUUAAGGCAUCCCUUCAGCUUCUUUUCACCCUCUUUUUCACUCUUGUCUUGGUGAAGAGAAAUUACAGAGACAGGACAGCUAGGUACCUAACUACUGCUGCUAAUCACUUUAAUCAAGUAUAUUUAACUGUAAACCUAUCAGAAAACCACGCUCUGCUUUCUUCUUCCAUUGUUGUUACUGUACCAUAAGUGGGUAGGCGCAGGAAAAGUCUCCAGUUGUCUCAACUCAAAAAAACAACAACAAAAAAAAGACCCAACCAAAGUAACCCUCACACAGCACUCUGGAGUCUGGCACUGAGUUCCACUGUGCCAAGUAUUCUCCCUCCCCACAGAAAGAGGGCAAUGACCUAUCCACAGAAGAGGGGCAAAUGGCGAUUGUGAAAGAAAAUGAGACAAAAAUAGCUUGCUUGAUUUUUCUUGGUACAUGGAAAAUCCAUUACAGAAGUUCAUAGAGCAACAGUGAGGCCUGAUAAGUUAACGAGCUGCUGCAUGGGGAGUCAUGGGAGAGAUGGCCCAUCGCUCAGAAAUUCCUGCAUGGCACAGGAUACGAGUCAUGAGGGUGACUAAUAUGGUCAGACCAAAAAUCACCAGUUCUGAUUCCUUCAGGAAGCAAGAUAUUCAAACAGUACUUCACUAGUGGGUAGGGGUUUCAUUGUUUGUUUUUGUGUUUCUGCAUUCAAAACAAUCAAAAAAAUCCAAUGCAAACAAACAAAACCCUCAACUCUCUAACAGCUACUUGCAAAAAGGCAGAACUGCCUGAUUACAUCAAAGCUCCAGCCGGAGCUGGACAGGAAGCCUGCUUCGAAGCGGGUAUGGGUGACAUAAGCAAAGACAACCAGAGACCCAUAGACUGUACUGGUGCCGGGCCUGCAGGACAGAGCUCAGCAAUGCCCAUACACCUGCAGGAGGGCCUUGGCAAGGCUGUGGAGCUCUGCCACUCACCCCUGUGACGAGGGAGCUGUGGGCCUGCACCCAGCCUCGCACAGCCAACAGUGGGAAUAUGAAGCACAUCAGCCACUAAGAGAACCACACUAUUACCGAUGCCAGUUACAAAACUUUGACUUGUUGUCGAGAGAACGUGUGGUAUCUGGCAUUAUUCUGUCAGCAGCACCAAAUAAUGUCAGAGCAAUUUGAUAUUCACGUCCCCGACAGGCUGCUUUAGUUACAGAAACAACAUUAAAAAUGCAGCAUCCUUUGAAAUAGCUGGAGAAGCGGGGCAAGUUCCAGCCCCAAGCACAAUAAACAGCUCCCCGGGGCUCGUUCCUCCCUGGAGGAUGAAGUCUUUCACAGCCAGCAGACACCUUAUCAGGGAUUGUUUCUGUCACCGAUGGCAAACGCACUGUGAAAGUAUCAGUCACAACAACUUAAGCUCUGCAGCCAGUAUCAAACCAGUGACCAGCCAUCCCCACAGAAAGGACGCUUUCUCCACAUAGCAAUCCAAGCUGUAAGUACUAAACACAAAGGAACAGAAGUGAUUCGCUGCCAGCAUGGACACUGCCACAUCAACUUCCUCUACCGCACUGACACCCAGGCACUCCUCGGGAAUGAAUGGGGCAGAGCACAGCGUGCAGUUCUCCAGCCCUUGGCUGCAGAAAUCGCUGUACGCCAGCACCGCCAGCAGCAGGAGUUUUUAGAAGUAACAAGAGGACGAAUUCAGGGAAUACCUUUCUUUGUGGCAAGUCAAGCCUCGCGUACGAACCGGGUUACCUCUUCCCCUCACUGAGAGAUGGCUCAAUAUUUCCAUCCUAUCUGAACGGUGAAGCCGAGGUUCAAUUUUAGUACCUGAAAAAGUACCAACUAAAAAUUGCCAAAUACUAGCUUGCAGCAGGCGUUAGGCAGGAGGGUCUGCUUUCACUAGUGCAAAGUCAAAUAAACUCAAGUUCAUAAGAAACCUAAACCUUCACCUAUGCUAACGUCUAGGAAUAACUCUCUUUCACAACUCAAAUAAGUAAUUAUUCUUCAAAACGUUACAUUAGGAAACAGAAAACAUACCAGAAAUGUAUUUAUUCUAACACCGGCAUGGAAAACAGCACUGUGUAAAAAAGCACCUCGUCUCCACAGGCUUCCCGUGCAACAAAACACAGAACUACCACGAGCAGAUAAAGCUAUCCGUCCCAAACUUACCAUAAAGAACCAUCAAAGCAACUCUACGGAUCCGCUACGCGACCAGAAGGGCAAUCCAGAGAAGAGGAGGCGAAUUGUAAGCGCUGAGUCACGGCCAGAGCAAGUUCUGUCAAGCCGCUGCAAGCUACACAAGUGUGAAAAGGAACAUCAUCAGACACCAUGCAGCUGGUGCACUUUCCCUCACACACACUGCUUGGCUCAAGAGCUCCACACAUCUCAGUUCAGAUGCAGCUUUUCCUCACACCGCCUGUGCACGUCCCUCCCCAAAACUUACUAUAAGGAGGGAACCAGUGAAGAUUAACCUCUCACAGAGACGUAGUAGCACUCCUUACAUUGCACUCCUCAGGGGUGACAUUAAAUAGAUGUCUCUUGUGGGAAGAGACAAUAAAAGCUUACUGAGAUGAACAACUUACUGUACUUCCCACUGGUAUUUUUCCUUAAAUUCUACUUCCUCAAAUGCUGUGUAUGCUCUACACUUCUGGGCUGAAGAGUGCAAGAAAUUUUUACACCAAUUUUCAUAAUGAUAUUUACUUUCACAUUACUUUUGUUUUACUGAAGUCUUCAGACCUUAGCAAGUUCAAAGAACUGAACAGGACAAGAGAAAUACCUAUGCUCACAUCAUAAAUGAUGGAGAGGAGAUUCUUUGAGUCUUCAGCCAAGACACCUCAGGAUGAGCUGCAGUACAAAUGACCGUUUGUUUCACAUAUUCCACAUGGGCAGGACAGAACAUAAAUAUGGCAGGUUCUUCUGAGCUGAUCUCAUACAGUAAAAGGGGAGGAGAGAAAGAGGCACAGGUUUUUAUGACGGCAUUAUGAACCUUUCAAGAUAAACAAUGUGAUGUAUAAAGGCAACAAAAUCAACCAUGUGGUGCAGUUCCUGGGCCUCCACACCAUGAAGGGAAGAAUCCAGACUUGUCAUAAAUACUAUGCAUUACUCACAUUGCCAACAUAUUCCACUUGUUCUAUUUACCUCACAAAAUAAAAAUCACUCAGAAAGAAAAACUUAAGAACAAUAUACAUGACUGAUUAAAGCUUAAGAAUAAUAUACAUAAGUUCCCAAUAUGACUGGGAAACACCACUGUGAGGUGGUGAGUUGCAGGUGAAAAUCUUUUGCCCUAUCUAUCUGCUUGGAAUUGCCAGGCAGACUUGUCUGAGUGGAAGCUGC